rnacentral:lncRNA from 1 species
GCAAUUUGUAGAUCUGAACUCCUGAAUCCAUCACUGACUAGCUUAUAACCUUCGGUGGGCUACUUAACUACUCUAAGCCUUUAUUUACCUCAUUACAAGACAUCAAUAAUGAAAUAACUCUCAUAGAAGUACUUGGGAUUAACUGAGUACGUAUAUACCGUGCCAAGUAAAAUGCACAUAGAAAGUGCAUAUUAACUGAUAGCCAUUUUAGAUAUGAAAAGUACUCAACCUAUGCCUUUGUCUCCUUUUCUCUACCAUAUCAGUAUUUUUGUUUGCAUUCUCAUCAACUCUUGCCUGGUUUCCAUCAAUUGCCUCCUAACCAGCACUUCAAUACAUCUGCCAGGAUGACUUUUCCAAAAGGUAUCAGAAGAGUAACUGGCUCACUGGAUUCCCUCUGCCUAGACUACCCUUCCCCUUAUUUUCAUAUUGCUAAUCCUCUUACCUCAUUCAAGUCUUUUCUCAAAUGUCCUUUAAAUGUGGUCUACCAUGGCCAUCAUAUUUAAAAUGUAAACCCUUAGCCCAUUUAAGAUGUCCAUGAUUUUCUUCUAUUGUACUCUAUUUUUGCUCCUUACCGUAUCUUAUCCACAAGGAUACUAUGUAGUUUACAUAUUCAACUGUCUAACCUUAGUCCUUCUGAGAUAAAAGAAGCUCCACCAUAGAACAGGGAUUCUUCUAUGUUUGUUCAGUGUAGGAUAAUUAACACGUAGUGUAUAUUCUGUAAAUAUUCACUGGAAAAAUAAAUAAAUGCCUUCUUCUUAAGCCAACAGUCACUCUUCUUUCUAAGCCUCAAGGAAAAGUAUAUCUUAAAUAUCUUAUUUUAUAAAAACAUUCAAAUAGGGAAAAUAUAUUUUUAAAAAACAGUAUGAAAAAACUCAUACCAAAAAUAUAUUUGGCUUACUAAACUUAUGAGUUCAAAUAAAUUCUUUAAAAUGAGAGAGACACUUCAGCAUGAACAAAAAGCAAAAUCCCACAGGAGGCCAGAUCACUUAAAGCAAGGAGUUCCA